rnacentral:rRNA from 1 species
GACGAACGCUGGCGGCGCGCUUAACACAUGCAAGUCGAACGGAAAGGCCUGCUUUCCCUUGUGGAUUGCGGGUACUCGAGUGGCGAACGGGUGAGUAACACGUGAGUGAUCUGCCCCCAACUUGGGUAUAAGCCUGGGAAACUGGGUCUAAUUCCCGAUAGGACUGCAGGGUGGUGCCUGUGGUGGAAAACGAUUUUCUAGUGGUUGGGGAUGAGCUCGCGGCCUAUCAGCUUGUUGGUGGGGUAAUGGCCUACCAAGGCGGCGACGGGUAGCCGGCCUGGGAGGGGGGACGGCCACAUUGGGACUGAGAUACGGCCCAGACUCCGACGGGAGGCAGCAGUGGGGAAUAUUGCACGAUGGGCGGAAGCCUGAUGCAGCGACGCCGCGUGGGGGAGGACGGCCUUCGGGUUGUAAACUCCUUUCGACCGCGAGGAAGCCACCUGGUUGGAAGGGUGGUGACGGUAGUGGUAGAAGAAGCACCGGCUAACUACGUGC